GACGAACGCUGGCGGCGUGCUUAACACAUGCAAGUCGAACGAAGAGCGAUGGAAGCUUGCUUCUAUCAAUCUUAGUGGCGAACGGGUGAGUAACGCGUAAUCAACCUGCCCUUCAGAGGGGGACAACAGUUGGAAACGACUGCUAAUGCCGCAUACGAUCUAAUCUCGGCAUCGAGGAUAGAUGAAAGGUGGCCUCUACAUGUAAGCUAUCACUGAAGGAGGGGAUUGCGUCUGAUUAGCUAGUUGGAGGGGUAACGGCCCACCAAGGCGAUGAUCAGUAGCCGGUCUGAGAGGAUGAACGGCCACAGUGGGACUGAGACACGGCCCAGACUCCUACGGGAGGCAGCAGGGGGGAAUCUUCCGCAAUGGACGAAAGUCUGACGGAGCAACGCCGCGGGAGUGAUGACGGCCUUCGGGUUGUAAAGCUCUGUUAAUCGGGACGAAAGGCCUUCUUGCGAAUAGUGAGAAGGAUUGACGGUACCGGAAUAGAAAGCCACGGCUAACUACGUG
rnacentral:rRNA from 1 species